rnacentral:rRNA from 2 species
AACUUUCAACAACGGAUCUCUUGGCUCUCGCAUCGAUGAAGAACGCAGCGAAAUGCGAUAAGUAAUGUGAAUUGCAGAAUUCAGUGAAUCAUCGAAUCUUUGAACGCACCUUGCGCCCUUUGGUAUUCCGAAGGGCAUGCCUGUUUGAGUGUCAU